rnacentral:rRNA from 1 species
GUGGGGAAUAUUGGACAAUGGGCGAAAGCCUGAUCCAGCCAUGCCGCGUGUGUGAAGAAGGCCUUCGGGUUGUAAAGCACUUUUGGCAGGAAAGAAAUAGUGCGUGCUAAUACCAUGCGCGAAUGACGGUACCUGCAGAAUAAGCACCGGCUAACUACGUGCCAGCAGCCGCGGUAAGACGUAGGGUGCAAGCGUUAAUCGGAAUUACUGGGCGUAAAGCGUGCGCAGGCGGUUUUGUAAGACAGGUGUGAAAUCCCCGGGCUCAACCUGGGAACUGCACUUGUGACUGCAAGGCUAGAGUGUGUCAGAGGGAGGUGGAAUUCCGCGUGUAGCAGUGAAAUGCGUAGAGAUGCGGAGGAACACCGAUGGCGAAGGCAGCCUCCUGGGAUAACACUGACGCUCAGGCACGAAAGCGUGGGGAGCAAACAGGAUUAGAUACCCGGGUAGUCC